AGGGAGGUUAACACACUGUAAUAAUUACACACCAGGGAGGUUAACACACUGUAAUAAUUACACACCAGGGAGGUUAACACACUGUAAUAAUUACACACCAGGGAGGUUAACACACUGUAAUAAUUACACACCAGGGAGGUUAACACACUGUAAUAAUUACACACCAGGGAGGUUAACACACUGUAAUAAUUACACACCAGGGAGGUUAACACACUGUAAUAAUUACAAACCAGGGAGGUUAACACACUGUAAUAAUUACAAACCAGGGAGGUUAACACACUGUAAUAAUUACACACCAGGGAGGUUAACACACUGUAAUAAUUACACACCAGGGAGGUUAACACACUGUAAUAAUUACACACCAGGGAGGUUAACACACUGUAAUAAUUACACACCAGGGAGGUUAACACACUGUAAUAAUUACACACCAGGGAGGUUAACACACUGUAAUAAUUACAAAUGAGGUGUAAAAAAAAUCAAAUCAAAUAGUUUUGUUUUAGCAUAAGACACAUUCAAAUGAGUCUGGGCUGGGGUUGGUUCAGUCCAGUGUUUUUCUGGAAGUGGGGGCUGAAAUGCCAAGAAAUCCUCUUUUACUUCCAAUUAGCAUUGAUGGGAUCAGUUUGAUAAUCAUACCUGGAAACCUUUCCUCUGCCCGGGCUCAGGAGAACGUUUUUUCACAUGUAGAGUUCUCUUACAUGUGAACUGCAAAUAUGAUUAUCCACAUGUGAAUGUUUUUACGUGAAAAGUGCAUAAUCGAUUCUCACGUUGAACGUUUUUAACGUUGAAACCGCACAUUCCAAUUCACAUGUGAGGUGAAAACAUGCUAUUUUUUCCACACAUGUGAAACGGUGUUGUUAACAUGUGGACUCCAAAUGUAAAUACAUUACAUGUGAAACGGUGUUGUUAACAUGUGGACUCCAAAUGUAAAUACAUUACAUGUGAAACGGUGUUGUUAACAUGUGGACUCCAAAUGUAAAUACAUUACAUGUGAAACGGUGUUGUUAACAUGUGGACUCCAAAUGUAAAUACAUUACAUGUGAAACGGUGUUGUUAACAUGUGGACUCCAAAUGUAAAUACAUUACAUGUGAAACGGUGUUGUUAACAUGUGGACUCCAAAUGUAAAUACAUUACAUGUGAAACGGUGUUGUUAACAUGUGGACUCCAAAUGUAAAUACA